AAAGAACUUCUAGGGGAAGGAUUCUGUCUUGGGAGUAUCUCACCCUCACUUCAUCAUCCCUUUCUCCUGUCUCAUACUCCAAAGGGCAAGUGUUGGGAAAGGAGCCCGGGGUGAGCCUGCUAAGGUCAAACUACUUGUACUCCAUGAUGGGGCACUCUUUCUUCCCAAGCUUCAAAGAAUCAGUUUUGUUGUCCCUGGUUUUACAGAAAAGAGGGAAAAUGAGUAUUAUCCAGCAUUCAGAGGAGGCAAAGAAGAAAGAAGCACAUAAUUGGCAAAUUCCUGAGAAAGUGUCACUCAA